UUUAUCAUUUAUUCCCCCAGAUCAAAUGUUCCUUUCUUCUGUCAUGGAGCAAGUAUCAGCUAUUGAUUACAAAAGCCACCCAUUACAUCAGUAAUACAUUGCAAAGACUUUAGACUUUCGAUACAGUAUUUUUAUUCAACAUAUAAUUUGCAGAUUCUAGGUAUAGCAACUUUAAAACUAAAUUGAUAAUGUGUAAUUUGUUUAAAUAGAUACUUCUUACAUUUAACUCACCUUCGUUGCUCAUUGUGCCCAAUGUUUCAUGCAAAAAUAAUGGAAUUUCUAUCGCUUCCAGCUCGUCUGCGAUAAAGCAAGCAAACACCACGUGAUAUGCCAUGACUGACGUAAUUGCCGCAAACUACGGGAGCCACAACGUGUCCGGCUUCAUAUCUCCGUUUGCAGAUCCUCCCCGCCUGCACGCGGCAAUUCUCGCAGAUCGGUUACAUCCAGCAGCAGCCGAUGUCGAACACACCUAAUAUUUAUAUGUCUGUGUUCUGGCUGGCCUUGAGUGACGCAAUCACGCUUUAAGUGACGUAAUUUGAAAGCGAGCGCGAGAUCUUGCCGACGAGACGACUGUCAUUGCUGCAGUUUUUGCCGUUGAGAAAGCGAUCCUUAUGGAUUUACAAACACAAGAUGUUCUGCAUGAUCGGGUGAUUGAUUAAUUAAACAGGAAAGAAGGACUGAUUUUCACUUCAAGUAAAUUGAGUGAGGUAAUGGAUAUGCAUUAUGUGAAGACAAGAUCAGGCAAGGAGCAUCAUCAGCAACAGGUUCCUCCAGGACCCGGGACAACGCAUCAGGACCCUGGUUGAGACAACCUUUCCUGUGAUGAACUUGAAAACAGAACUGUUGCAGGCGGAGUGUCCAGCGGGUAAGGCGUGAGGAGGUCUUAGGGCAGUUGAACGCCCAGGCGAGAGCCGCAUGGUCCGUGAAGACGUCGAAGGGUCUUCCCUCCAGGUAAUGUCUCCACUUUUCCACCGCCCAAACCACUGCUAGACAUUCUUUUUCUGAAGUGCUGUAAUUCUUUUCUGCUCCAGUUAAGGUCCUUGAUGCAUAUGCCACCACCUUUUCACCCUCCUCAGAAUGUUGAGUAAGGAUGGCUCCCAGUCCUACCUCACUUGCGUCGGUAUGAACCUGGAAGGGUUGGUUAAUAUCAGGUUGUAUUAGGACCGGUGAAUUUUGCAAGGCUUGUUUUAGUUCUUCCAUGCUAGCUUGACACUCUGGGGUCCAUUCCCACUUAACUCCUUUCUUUUUUAGGAGGUUCAAUGGAGCAGUAAUGUCAGCAAAGUGGGAAAUAAACUUAUGGUACCAGCCUGCCAGUCCCAGAAAUCAUUGCAAAGCUUUAAGAUCUUGCGGUGGGGGAAACUCUGCAAUGACCCUGGUCUUCUCUCGGUCCACCUCCACUCCCCUCUCAGAGAUUAUAUGGCCGAGGAAGUUGAGCUGUCGUUUGAAGAAGUGGCAUUUCUUCAUGCUCUGUGUCAGAUUGGCUUGGGUCAGCCGUUGCAGAACCAUAUCUAGGUGUUGAAAAUGUUGUUCAAGUGAUUUGGAAUAGAUUAUAUCGUCAAUGUAUACAAAACAUAUUCUCCCUCUCAGAUCAGACAGUACUCUCUCCAUCAACCGUUGGAAGGUAGCAGCGGCAUUGGAUAAGCGUCGGGUACGGUCUUGCUGUUCAGCUUCCUGUAAUCCACACAGAACCUGUAAGAGCCAUCAGGUUUGGGGACCAGGACUACCGGUGAAGACCACGGUGAAAAGGAGGGUUCAAUGAUAUCGUCCCGUAGCAUCAGGUCUACUUGUUCUUCAAUAAUCUGCUUCUUCAGAGGAGACACGCGGUAUGCACGGGACUUGAGGGGUAUGUCAUCUGAUAAUGUGAUUUUAUGUUGUACAAUAGAGGUCUUACCCAGGGUGUUUGAAGUGGUGCGUGGCCAGGCGGAGAUUAACUUCAUUAACUCCUCCUGAUUGUCAGAAUCCCACUCAGUGAUCUCGGUGGAAACGGACAUGAGUUCGGGAAGUCUACCAGUUGCGGGUAAGGCAUAGUAUAAAUUCAGCUUUGCAGCCAUAUGAGAAAGAACUGGACCAGACGGGUUGGCUGGACCUGUUGGAAUCUGUGACGGCAAGAAAGGGUAAUAGGUGUAUCCUUUGUCAGAUCUUAACCCAUAUCUGCCACGUCCCACUUCCAGGACUGCUCCCGUGGCAAUCAGGAAAUCCAGACCAGCAAUAAGAGGAAAGGCGAGGUGAGUGUCUUUAAGGAUAUAAGUAUCCAUACUGCAUUCGUGGUCAUGCCAUUGAAACCUAAUCCUUUGCAGGUCUCUGGACUGGUGAAUUGUUCCGUCGGCCAUAAUGAACCUCUGUGGGCUGAAGGCACCACAAGGAGAGAUGACACUGGAUGGGGUUGAGCUAGUGUUACUCCGGCCAGGUUUUUAUUGAAGGUACGUUCAGCAGAUUUCUUGUUGGUCUUUUCUUUGCUGCUCUGAGUUCCCACUUUCUGCCAGUAGUCUUUAGCUCCCAUAUAGUCCUUUUCCACCAUGGAUCCGAUUUUCACCAGGUGUUCAACAGAGUUAACUGUUCCCCUCAUACACCCGGCGACUCUGGGGUUGAUGUUGUUCAGUAUACGAUUUACUAGCUCCUCUUCAGAGAUUUCUAGCUUCCAUUUCAGACAUAAGGCCCGGUAGUCAUAUGCAAAGUCCCUCAGGCGUUGCCGUGGCUGCUGUACCAUCGUCCUCAGUUUUUCCUCCACUUCUGAGAGGUAAUCGUCUGGGAGAAAAGCAGCCAUGAAUGCCUUUUUGAAGGACCUCCAAUCCGUUACCUUGACCUUUUCUGCCUUCCACCAGCUCAGAGCGGGUCCCUUCAGUACCGUACUUAAGGUUCCUAGUAGUUCAGCACAGGGAAGGGGCCGGAUCUCCAGGAAGUUCUCACAUUGCUCGAUGAAGUUGAGCACCUCCGCCGUCUCACAGGAGUCUCCGAAAGAGGGGAACUCUAUGCGGAUAGGCGGACGGGCACAGAAUGAGGAUGCACCUGCCACUACAGAGGAGAUACUAGAGCUGGGGUCAGUGGUUGACGGACAGUGGAAAAAUGGGAGGAAUCUGGUGAAUAGGCUUGUAAUCUGGAGAGUGUGGGAGUGCUAGUGAGCCUCAUUUUUCUCAUUUGACUUUCCCAUUUUCCGCGACCCUGUAUACAGGAUAAGCGGUUGACGAUGGAUGGAUGGAUGGACUUUCCCAUUUUGCAUCUCUCCUCAGAAAACAAUCUGUUACAGCCUUUUCUAAUUUUUCCAGUGCCUUAAUGAAGAACUCCUCCAACCCUGCCAAGCUAGAGUCCACGGCCUGCCUAAAGCUUGCUUCCCUAUUCAAUGUACUGUCCAUUGACUGUUUGAAAUCUUGUUCCAAAGUAUGUAAUUUUUUAUUUAGAGCCAAUAAAUUACCUUUACAUUGAGUCAAGUCAGUAUGCAUCAAUUGUACCAUGCCUAUAUUCAGUAUGCUACCUUCAUCAUCAUCAUCAUCAGAUUGUUCAGUGUCAGACAUGUAUAAUGAACUAAUCAUUGAAGUUAUUUCUUCAGGCGGAUUACGCCUGGUUACAAAUGAACCUGUGGUAAAAUCCACCUCUGUUUGUUCAAUAUCAUUUUGGACAUUUCCAGAUUUCACAGAGUUAUCAAUAUUUUCAUCA